UGUAAACAUUGGCUGUAAACAUUGGCUGUAGGUGUAAACAUUGGCUGUAGGUGUAAACAUUGGCUGUAGGUGUAAAUAUUGGCUGUAGGUGUAAACGAGGGGACAGAGCGAAACAGGAUGUGACCAGUGGUGUAAAAAGUAAAGAUAGUUUAAUAGAAAAUGACUCAAGUAAAAGUCAGUAAAAUACUACUUGAGUAAACGUCAAAGUAUUUGGUUUUAAAUAUAUAUUUACCUUUAUUUAACCAGGCAAGUCAGUUAAGAACAAAUUCUUAUUUUCAAUGACGGCCUAGGAACAAUGGGUUAACUGUCUGUUCAGGGGCAGAAUGACAGAUUUGUACCUUGUCAGCUCGGGGGUUUGAACUUGCAACCUUCCGGUCACUAGUUCAACGCUCUAACCACUAGGCUACCCUGCCACCCCAUAUACUUAAGUUUCAAAAAUAAAAUAAUGAAAUACUUCAAAUUCCUUAUAUUAAGCAAAUCAGACGGCAAUAUUUGCUUUUGACAUUUUAAUUUACAGAUAGCCAAGGGUGCUCCAACACUCAGACAUCAUUUACAAACAAAGCUUUGUGAGUCCUCCAGAUCAGAGGCAGUAGUGAUGACCAGGGAUGUUCUCUGUUUAGUGAGUCCUCCAGAUCAGAGGCAGUAGUGAUGACCAGGGAUGUUCUCUGUUUAGUGAGUCCUCCAGAUCAGAGGCAGUAGGGAUGUUCUCUGUUUAGUGAGUCCUCCAGAUCAGAGGCAGUAGGGAUGACCAGGGAUGUUCUCUGUUUAGUGAGUCCUCCAGAUCAGAGGCAGUAGAGAUGACCAGAGAUGUUCUCUGUUUAGUGAGUCCUCCAGAUCAGAGGCAGUAGGGAUGACCAGAGAUGUUCUCUUGAUUAGUGAGUCCUCCAGAUCCGAGGCAGUAGGGAUGACCAGAGAUGUUCUCUUGAUUAGUGAGUCCUCCAGAUCAGAGGCAGUAGGGAUGACCAGGGAUGUUCUCUGUUUAGUGAGUCCUCCAGAUCAGAGGCAGUAGAGAUGACCAGAGAUGUUCUCUGUUUAGUGAGUCCUCCAGAUCAGAGGCAGUAGGGAUGACCAGAGAUGUUCUCUUGAUUAGUGAGUCCUCCAGAUCCGAGGCAGUAGGGAUGACCAGAGAUGUUCUCUUGAUUAGUGAGUCCUCCAGAUCAGAGGCAGUAGGGAUGACCAGGGAUGUUCUCUGUUUAGUGAGUCCUCCAGAUCAGAGGCAGUAGAUGACCAGGGAUGUUCUCUGCUUAGUGAGUCCUCCAGAUCAGAGGCAGUAGGGAUGACCAGGGAUGUUCUCUGUUUAGUGAGUCCUCCAGAUCAGAGGCAGUAGGGAUGACCAGGGAUGUUCUCUGUUUAGUGAGUCCUCCAGGUCAGAGGCAGUAGGGAUGACCAGCGAUGUUCUCUGUUUAGUGAGUCCUCCAGAUCAGAGGCAGUAGGGAUGACCAGAGAUGUUCUCUUGAUUAGUGAGUCCUCCAGAUCCGAGGCAGUAGGGAUGACCAGAGAUGUUCUCUUGAUUAGUGAGUCCUCCAGAUCAGAGGCAGUAGGGAUGACCAGGGAUGUUCUCUGUUUAGUGAGUCCUCCAGAUCAGAGGCAGUAGGGAUGACCAGAGAUGUUCUCUUGAUUAGUGUGUGAAUUGGACCAUUUUCCUGUCCUGCUAACCCUUCAAAAUGUAACUUGUACUUUUGGGUGUCAGGGAAAAUGUAGGGAGUAAAAAGUACAUUAUUUUCUUUAUGAAUGUACAGUUGAAGUCGGAAGUUUACAUACACAUUAGCCAAAUACAUUUAAACUCAGUUUUUCACCAUUCCUGACAUUUAAUCUGAGUCCUGUCAGUGUAGCCUAGUGGUUAGAGCGUUGGACUAGUAACCGAAAGGUUGCAAGUUCAAAUCCCUGAGCUGACAAGGUACAAAAUCUGUCGUUCUGCCCCUGAACAGGCAGUUAACCCACUGUUCCUAGACUGUCAUUGAAAAUAAGAAUUUGUUCUUAACUGACUUGCCUGAUUAAAUAAAGGUAAAAUAAAAAAAUAAAAACAUUCCCUGUCUUAGGUCAGUUAGAAUCACCACUUUAUUUUAAGAAUGUGAAAUGUUAGAAUAAUAGUAGAGUGAUUUAUUUCAGCUUUUAUUUCUUUCAUCACAUUCCCAGUGGGUCAGAAGUUUACAUACACUCAAUUAGUAUUUGGUAGCAUUUAACUUGUUUAACUUGGGUUAACGUUUCAUGUAGCCUUCCACAAUAAGUUGGGUGAAUAUUGGCCCAUUCCUCCUGACAGAGCUGGUGUAACUGAGUCAGGUUUGUUGGCCUCCUUGCUCGCAUUCGCUUUUUCAGUUCUGCCCACAAAUGUUCUAUAGGAUUGAGGUCAGGGCUUUGUGAUGGCCACUCAAAUACCUUGACUUUGUUGUCCUUAAGCCAUUUUGCCACAACUUUGGAAAUAUGCUUGAGGUCAUUGUCUAUUUGGAAGACCCAUUUGUGACCAAGAUUUAACUUCCUGACUAAUGUCUUGAUGUUGCUUCAAUAUUUCCACAUUUUCUUUCCUCAUGAUGCUUUCUAGUUUGAAGUGGACCAGUCCCUCCUGCAGUAAAUCACCCCCAUAACAUGAUGCUGCCACCCCUGUGCUUCACAGUUGGGAUGGUGUUCUUCGGCUUGCAAACCUCACCCUUUUUCCUCUAAACAUAACGAUGGUCAUUAUGGCUAAACAGUUCUAGGUUUGUUUCAUCAGACCCGAUGACAUUUCUCUAAAAAGUAAGGUCUUUGUCCCCAUGUGCAGUUGCAAACCGUAGUCUGGCUUUUUUAUGGCGGUUUUGGAGCAGUGGCUUCUUCCUUGCUGAGCAGCCUUUCAGGUUAUGUCGAUAUAGGACUCGUUUUACUGUGGUUAUAGAUACUUUUGUACCCGUUUUGUCCAGCAUCUUCACAAGGUUCCUUUGCUGUUGUUCUGGGAUUAAUUUGCACAUUUCACACCAAAGUACCUUCAUCUCUAGGAGACAGAACGCGUCUCCUUCCUGAGCAGUAUGACGACUGCGUGGUCCCAUGGUGUUCAUACUUGCGUACUAUUGUUUGUACAGAUGAAUGUGGUACCUUCAGGUGUUUGGAAAUUGCUCCCAAGGAUGAACCAGAUUUAUGGAGAUUUACAAAUUAUUUUCAGAGAUAUUGGCUGAUUUCCUUUGAUUUUCCCAUGAUGUCAAACAAAGAGGCACUGAGUUUGAAGGUAGGCCUUGAAAUACAUCCACAGGUACACCCCCAAUUGACUCAAAUUAUGUCAAUUAGCCUAUCAGAAGCUUCUAAAGCAAUGACAUCAUUUUCUGGGCUUUUCCAAGCUGUUUAAAGGCACAGUCAGCUUAGUGUAUGUAAACUUCUGUCCCACUGGAAUUGUGAUACAGUGAAUUAUAAGUAAAAUAUUCUGUCUGUUAACAAUUGUUGGAAAAAUGACAUGUGUCAUCCACAAAGUAGAUGUCCUAACCGACUUGCCAAAACUAUAGUUUGUUAACAAGAAAUUUCUGGAGUGGUUGAAAAGCGAGUUUUAAUGACUCCAACCUCAGUGUAAGUAAACUUCCGACUUCAACUGUAGUUAAGUAAAAGUUGACAAAAAUACGAAUUGUAAAGUACAGAUACCCCCAAAAAAGGACUUAAGUAAAAAAAACUUAAGUUGUAUUUUAAAGUACUUUACACCACUGCCACUGACUAGGGUGACCACAUUUAAAAUAACCAAAUAUGGGAUGAUUUUGUGGGACAUUGUAUCAGAAGCGUCCUGCUUUUAUUGGCAAAUUUGUUGUUUGAAUUUGUGGAUAAAAUACAGGACAUGAUUGGUUGUGGGGACAAAGGGCCAAAAUGUGUGACUAUCCUGCCCAAUCCGGAACAUGUGGUCACCCUACAAAACAAAUCAUGUCUUAGGAAGGUUCGGAUGGUACAAUAGGCUGCUGCUGCUAGAGAAAGGUCUUAUCUGUUGAUUUGUGUUGCAGCCCUGCUCACUGCUUUCAGGUAAUACAUUGGGAUGAAUGUACAUGUUAUCCAACACUUCAAUCGGGUCUAUUUAUCUGUGUUCACUAUUCACUGUGUUUGCUGUUGGUCUCUGCGCCUGUUGGAAUAUUUCAUUAUUGUUUACCUUUAUGUUCUGAGGGCGUUACUACAAAGCAGGAUCGGUGUGUUAGCUUGCCUAAAUAUUAAAUUUUCUGAAAUAA